CUUGCAAGGAAACCCCCAGCUAAGUAUUUUAUGGCUGGCUGAAAUGCGCGGACAUUUCCAGCCACCCACAGGGCAAACGGCUGCCCAGCUGCCGCUCGAGAGCAGCCCCCGAUGCCAUUCUUGGCAUGUUUUUCUCCAGGAGACUGGUGAGGCCCCGCCUUCCCCGCCUCUAGUGACUGCAUGUCCCUGGAUUAGGAUAACAAGAACCCGAAGAUUCAGAAUUGGAAAUGGAAGUGAAAUUUGACAAUUUGGGGGUUGAAUUUGUGCAAUUUGUCCUGGUGGGAAGAUUCACAAUUUGGAUUAUAGUUUUAACUGGCACAUGGAUUAUAAAAUCAAACACAAGAAGCAAGAUGAAGAAAACAGCAGCAUAUUCAUCGUCAUCAUGAUAUGUUGGGUUUUUUGGGAGGGGGAUUCCUUUUUGGGUACCUCAACCCCUAUUUGGAUUAGGGUAACAAGAACCCGAAGAUUCAGAAUUGGAAUUGGAAUUUGAAAAUUUGGGGGUUGAAUUUGUGAAAUUUGGGCCUGUUGGAGGAGAAAGAAGAAAGAAGCAGGGGCUUCACCCGCCUGGAUCCUGCAAGGAAACCCCGGCUAAGUGUUUUAUGGCUGGAUGAAAUGUGGGACGGUUCCAGCCAGACCACAGGGUCUGCAGCAAAGGCGCUUGGUGGCUCCCUUGGCACUUUGCAGCCUGGCGCUUGGUGGCUCUCGCGAUGCAAAGUGCCCGUCUCCACAAGAAAGGAGCGAGGGCUUCUCCCGCCUGGCUCUUGCAAGGAAACCCCCGGCUAAGUAUUUUAUGGCUGGCUGAAAUGCGCGGACAUUUCCAGCCACCCACAGGGCAAACGGCUGCCCAGCUGCCGCUCGAGAGCAGCUCCCGAUGCCAUUCUUGGCAUGUUUUUCUCCAGGAGACUGGUGAGGCCCUACCUUCCACGCCUCUAGUGACUGCACGUCCCUGGAUUAGGAUAACAAGAACCCGAAGAUUCAGAAUUGGAAUUGGAAUUUGAAAAUUUGGGGGGUGAAUUUGUGAAAUUUGGGCCUGUUGGAGGAGAAAGAAGAAAGAAGCAAGGGCUUCACCCGCCUGGAUCCUGCAAGGAAACCCCGGCUAAGUGUUUUAUGGCUGGAUGAAAUGUACGGACAGUUCCAGCCAGACCACAUUGUCUGCAGCCUGGCGCUUGAUGGCUCCCGCGAUGCAAAGUGCCCGUCUCCACAAGAAAGAAGUGAGGGCUUCUUCGCCUGGCUCUUGCAAGGAAACCCCCGGCUAAGUGUUUUAUGGCUGGCUGAAAUGUGCGGACGUUUCCAGCCAGACCACAGGGUCUGCAGCAAAGGCGCUUGGUGGCUCCCGUGGCACUUUGUAGCCUGGCCCUUGGUGGCUCCCGCGAUGCAAUGUGCCCGUCUCCACAAGAAAGAAGCGAGGCCUUCUGCCGCCUGGCUCUUGCAAGGAAACCCCCGGCUAAGUAUUUUAUGGCUGGCUGAAAUGCGCGGACAUUUCCAGCGAGACCACAGGGUCCACAGCAAAGGCGCUUGGUGGCUCCUGUGGCACUUUACAGCCUGGCGCUUGAUGGCUCCCGCGAUGCAAAGUGCCCGUCUCCACAAGAAAGAAGCGAGGGCUUCUCCCGCCUGGCUCUUGCAAGGAAACCCCCGGCUUAGUAUUUUAUGGCUGGCUGAAAUGCGCGGACAUUUCCAGGCCCCCACAGUGCAAACGGCUGCCCAGCUGCCACUCGUGAGCAGCCCCCGGUGCCAUUCUUGCCAUGUUUUUCUCCAGGAGACUGGUGAGGCCCCGCCUCCCCCACCUCUAGUGACUGCACGUCCCUGGAUUAGGGUAACAAGAACCCGAAGAUUCAGAAUUGGAAUUGGAAUUUAAACAUUUGGCGGUUGAAUUUGUGAAAUUUGGGCCUGUUGGAGGAGAAAGAAGAAAGAAGCAAGGGCUUCACCCGCCUGGAUCCUGCAAGGAAACCCCCGGCUAAGUGUUUUAUGGCUGGGUGAAAUGUGAGGACGUUUCCAGCCAGACCACAGGGUCUGCAGCAAAGGUGCUUGGUGGCUCUAGUGGCACUUUGCAGCCUGGCGCUUGGUGGCUCUCGCGAUGCAAAGUGCCCGUCUCCACAAGAAAGAAGCGAGGGCUUCUCCCGCCUGGCUCUUGCAAGGAAACCCCGGCUAAGUAUUUUAUGGCUGGCUGAAAUGGGCGGACGUUUCCAGCCAGACCACAGGACCUGCAGCAAAGGCGCUUGGUGGCUCCCGUGGCACUUUGCAGCCUGGCGCUUGGUGGCUCCCGCGAUGCAAAGUGCCCGUCUCCACAAGAAAGAAGCGAGGGCUUCUCCCGCCUGGCUCUUGCAAGGAAACCCCCGGCUAAGUAUUUUAUGGCUGGUUGAAAUGCGCGGACAUUUCCAGCCACCCACAGGGCAAACGGCUGCCCAGUUGCCGCUCGAGAGCAGCCCCCGAUGCCAUUCUUGGCAUGUUUUUCUCCAGGAGACUGGUGAGGCCCUACCUUCCACGCCUCUAGUGACUGCACGUCCCUGGAUUAGGAUAACAAGAACCCGAAGUUUCAGAAUUGGAAUUGGAAUUUGAAAAUUUGGGGGGUGAAUUUGUGAAAUUUGGGCCUGUUGGAGGAGAAAGAAGAAAGAAGCAAGGGCUUCACCCACCUGGAUCCUGCAAGGAAACCCCGGCUAAGUGUUUUAUGGCUGGAUGAAAUGUGCGGACGGUUCCAGCCAGACCACAUUGUCUGCAGCCUGGCGCUUGAUGGCUCCCGCGAUGCAAAGUGCCCGUCUCCACAAGAAAGAAGCGAGGGCUUCUCCCGUCUGGCUCUUGCAAGGAAACCCCCGGCUAAGUAUUUUAUGGCUGGCUGAAAUGCGCGGACAUUUCCAGCCACCCACAGGGCAAACGGCUGGCCAGCUGCCGCCUGAGAGCAGCCCCCGAUGCCAUUCUUGGCAUGUUUUUCUCCAGGAGACUGGUGAGGCCCCGCCUCCCCGGCCUCUAGUGACUGCACAUCCCUGGAUUAGGGUAACAAGAACCCGAAGAUUCAGACUUGGAAUUGGAAGUGAAAUUUGAAAAUCUGGGGGUUGUAUUUGUUUGAUUUGGGCUGGUUGGAGGAUUCCCAAUUUGGAUUAGGGUAACAAGAACCCGAAGAUUCAGAAUUGGAAUUGGAAGUGAAAUUUGAAAAUUUGGGGGUUGAAUUUGUGCAAUUUGUCCUGGUGGGAAUAUUCACAAUUUGGAUUAUAGUUUUAACUGGCAUAUGGAUUAUAAAAUCAAACACAAGAAGCAAGAUGAAGAAAAUAGCAGCAUAUUCAUCAUCAUCAUGAUAUGUUGGGUUUUUUGGGAGGGGGAUUCCUUUUUGGGUACCUCAACCCCUAUUUGGAUUAGGGUAACAAGAACCCAAAGAUUCAGAAUUGGAAUUGGAAUUUAAACAUUUGGGGGUUGAAUUUGUGCAAUUUGGGCCUGUUGGAGGAGAAAGAAGAAAGAAGCAAGCCCUUCACCCGCCUGGAUCCUGCAAGUCAACCCCCGGUUAAGUGUUUUAUGGGUGGCUGAAAUGUGCGAACGUUUCCAGCCAGACCACAGGGUCUGCAGCAAAGGCGCUUGGUGGCUCCCGUGGCACUUUGCAGCCUGGCCCUUGGUGGCUCCCGCGAUGCAAAGUGCCCGUCUCCACAAGAAAGAAGUGAGGGCUUCUUCGCCUGGCUCUUGCAAGGAAACCCCCGGCUAAGUGUUUUAUGGCUGGCUGAAAUGUGCGGACGUUUCCAGCCAGACCACAGGGUCUGCAGCAAAGGCGCUUGGUGGCUCCCGUGGCACUUUGUAGCCUGGCCCUUGGUGGCUCCCGCGAUGCAAUGUGCCCGUCUCCACAAGAAAGAAGCGAGGCCUUCUGCCGCCUGGCUCUUGCAAGGAAACCCCCGGCUAAGUAUUUUAUGGCUGGCUGAAAUGCGCGGACAUUUCCAGCGAGACCACAGGGUCCACAGCAAAGGCGCUUGGUGGCUCCUGUGGCACUUUGCAGCCUGGCGCUUGAUGGCUCCCGCGAUGCAAAGUGCCCGUCUCCACAAGAAAGAAGUGAGGGCUUCUCCCGCCUGGCUCUUGCAAGGAAACCCCCGGCUUAGUAUUUUAUGGCUGGCUGAAAUGCGCGGACAUUUCCAGGCCCCCACAGGGCAAACGGCUGCCCAGCUGCCACUCGUGAGCAGCCCCCGGUGCCAUUCUUGCCAUGUUUUUCUCCAGGAGACUGGUGAGGCCCCACCUCCCCUGCUUCUAGUGACUGCACGUCCUGGAUUAGGCUAACAAGAACCCAAAGAUUCAGAAUUGGAAUUGGAAGUGAAAUUUGAAAAUCUGGGGGUUGUAUUUGUUUGAUUUGGGCUGGUUUGAGGAUUCCCAAUUUGGAUUAGGGUAACAAGAACCCGAAGAUUCAGAAUUGGAAUUGGAAGUGAAAUUUGGGGGUUGAAUUUGUGCAAUUUGUCCUGGUGGGAAGAUUCACAAUUUGGAUUAUAGUUUUAACUGGCAUAUGGAUUAUAAAAUCAAACACAAGAAGCAAUUUGAAGAAAAUAACAGCAUAUUCAGCAUCAGCAUGAUGUUUUGGGUUUUUAAGUUGGGGAUUCCUUUUUGGGUACUUCAACACCUAUUUGGAUUAGGGUAACAAGAACCCAAAGAUUGAUGAGCGUUUCUUGACAUCGCAAUGACACAACAUCCAAUCUUGGGUCUCCAGGAUGCCUUUGAUAUCUCUGUUUCUGGAUGGUCCUUUUGGACCUAAACUGUUGUGAAGUAACUGUGAUAAAACAUAGCAUGUCCUGUUUAUCUUAGGGACAUUGCAAAGCCCCUGUUUCAUCCAGGAGAAAGCCCUUUUUGCCAUCUACAAACGAAGCAACCAAAAUAGCUGCUGAAGGUUGGGACAAGCCUCUGAAACAUAAGCAGUACAGGAAUGUAUCAAAUUUGUGAGAAAAUUUUUCAUUAUUACAGAACGGGAAACCCAAGAGAAUUGGAAUUUAAAAUAAAAUUGAAGACAGAAGAAAACAAGUGGCGAAUUAACUCUGUUUUAAGAUGAUCAUGUUAUCUUUUCUACCUUAACUUUGUUUUUUUUCUAUAGAUGGACUCUUUACAAAUGCCUUUUACUUUUAAACUUGACUGGUCUCUUUUUUUCCUUCUUCUUCUAUACUUUCUCCAUUUUUUGUAUUCGUGGAUUAAAAGCUUCUUCUCUCGUAAGGCUGGGACGCAGCGUAAUUUUUACACUUUUUUUCUUUUCCUCUCUUGGACGGAGAGGCAGAACAGAUGGAAAAUAGGUAACACUGCCAUCUAGUGGCUAGAGGCUUGG